rnacentral:rRNA from 1 species
UCUUUGCUGACGAGUGGCGGACGGGUGAGUAAUGUCUGGGAAACUGCCCGAUGGAGGGGGAUAACUACUGGAAACGGUAGCUAAUACCGCAUAACGUCGCAAGACCAAAGAGGGGGACCUUCGGGCCUCUUGCCAUCGGAUGUGCCCAGAUGGGAUUAGCUAGUAGGCGGGGUAACGGCCCACCUAGGCGACGAUCUCUAGCUGGUCUGAGAGGAUGACCAGCCACACUGGAACUGAGACACGGUCCAGACUCCUACGGGAGGCAGCAGUGGGGAAUAUUGCACAAUGGGCGCAAGCCUGAUGCASCCAUGCCGCGUGUAUGAAGAAGGCCUUCGGGUUGUAAAGUACUUUCAGCGGGGAGGAAGGGAGUAAAGUUAAUACCUUUGCUCAUUGACGUUACCCGCAGAAGAAGCACCGGCUAACUCCGUGCCAGCAGCCGCGGUAAUACGGAGGGUGCAAGCGUUAAUCGGAAUUACUGGGCGUAAAGCGCACGCAGGC